rnacentral:sRNA from 1 species
UGUCUGUAUGUACUAUAGAUUAGUGUC